rnacentral:rRNA from 1 species
UACGUAGGGUGCAAGCGUUGUCCGGAAUUAUUGGGCGUAAAGAGCUCGUAGGCGGUCUGUCGCGUCUGCUGUGAAAACUCGGGGCUUAACCCCGGGCCUGCAGUGGGUACGGGCAGACUAGAGUGCGGUAGGGGAGACUGGAAUUCCUGGUGUAGCGGUGAAAUGCGCAGAUAUCAGGAGGAACACCGAUGGCGAAGGCAGGUCUCUGGGCCGCAACUGACGCUGAGGAGCGAAAGCAUGGGGAGCGAACAGG